GGAUUGGGGGAGCUUGCUCCCCCAUGAGAGUGGCGCACGGGUGCGUAACGCGUGAGCAACCUGCCCAUAUCAGGGGGAUAGCCCGGAGAAAUCCGGAUUAACACCGCAUGACACUGUGUUACCGCAUGGUAGUACGGUUAAAUAUUCAUAGGAUAUGGAUGGGCUCGCGUGACAUUAGCUGGUUGGCGGGGUAACGGCCCACCAAGGCGCCGAUGUCUAGGGGCUCUGAGAGGAGAAUCCCCCACACUGGUACUGAGACACGGACCAGACUCCUACGGGAGGCAGCAGUAAGGAAUAUUGGUCAAUGGGCGCAAGCCUGAACCAGGCAUGCCGCGUGCAGGACGACUGCCCUACGGGUUUAAA
rnacentral:rRNA from 1 species